rnacentral:rRNA from 1 species
AUUGAACGCUAGCGGAAUGCUUUACACAUGCAAGUCGAACGAGGGGCGGACGGGUGAGUAAUAUAUCGGAACGUGGCCAGUAUAGGGGGAUAACUACUCGAAAGAGUGGCUAAUACCGCAUACUAUUAGUGCGGCAGAUAUCGGAUUAGCUAGUUGGUGGGGUAAAGGCUCACCAAGGCAACGGUCCGUAGCGGGUUUGCGAGGAAGACCAGCCACACUGGGACUGAGACACGGCCCAGACUCCAACGGGAGGCAGCAGUGGGGAAUUUUGGACAAUGGGGGAAACACUGAUCCAGCCAUCCCGCGUGUAUGAGAAGGCCUUCGGGUUGUAAAGUACUUUUCGCAGAGCAGCGGUAGCUGCAGAAUAAGCACCGUCUAACUACGUGCCAGCAGCCGCGGUAAUAC